AUACGGAGGAUCCGAGCGUUAUCCGGAUUUAUUGGGUUUAAAGGGUGCGCAGGCGGGUGAUUAAGUCAGUUGUGAAAUUCUACGGCUUAACCUUGAAAUUGCCGUUGAUACUGGUUUUCUUGAGUGCGUUUAAUGUGGGCGGAAUUCGUGGUGUAGCGGUGAAAUGCUUAGAUAUCACGCAGAACUCCAAUUGCGAAGGCAGCUUACUGAGCUGUAACUGACGCUGAUGCUCGAAAGUGUGGGUAUCAAACAGGAUUAGAUACCCUGGUAGUCCACACAGUAAACGAUGAAUACUCGCUGUUUGCGAUAUACAGUAAGCGGCCGAGCGAAAGCGUUAAGUGUUCCACCUGGGGAGUACGCCGGCAAGGGUGA
rnacentral:rRNA from 1 species